rnacentral:rRNA from 1 species
UGUGUCCUACGGGAGGCAGCAGUGGGGAAUAUUGCGCAAUGGGCGAAAGCCUGACGCAGCGACGCCGCGUGAGGGAUGGAGGUCUUCGGAUCGUAAACCUCUGUCAGCAGGGAAGAACGGUCACUGUGCUAAUCAGCAGUGAAUUGACGGUACCUGAAUAAGAAGCACCGGCUAAAUACGUGCCAGCAGCCGCGGUAAUACGUAUGGUGCAAGCGUUAUCCGGAUUUACUGGGCGUAAAGGGAGCGCAGGCGGCGCGCCAAGUCUGAUGUGA